rnacentral:rRNA from 1 species
AUACGUAGGUGGCGAGCGUUGUCCGGAAUUACUGGGUGUAAAGGGCGCGUAGGCGGGGAUGUAAGUCAGAUGUGAAAUACCAUGGCUUAACUGUGGGACUGCAUCUGAAACUAUGUAUCUUGAGUACCGGAGAGGAAAGCGGAAUUCCCAGUGUAGCGGUGAAAUGCGUAGAGAUUGGGAAGAACACCAGUGGCGAAGGCGGCUUUCUGGACGGUAACUGACGCUGAGGCGCGAAAGCGUGGGGAGCAAACAGGAUUAGAUACCCUGGUAGUCCACGCCGUAAACGAUGGAUACUAGGUGUAGGAGGUAUCGACCCCUUCUGUGCCGGAGUUAACACAAUAAGUAUCCCACCUGGGGAGUACGGCCGCAAGGUUGAA